UACGUAGGGUGCGAGCGUUAAUCGGAAUUACUGGGCGUAAAGCGUGCGCAGGCGGCUUUGCAAGACAGAUGUGAAAUCCCCGGGCUUACCUGGGAACUGCAUUUGUGACUGCAUGGCUGGAGUGCGGCAGAGGGGGAUGGAAUUCCGCGUGUAGCAGUUGAAAUGCGUAGAUAUGCGGAGGAACACCGAUGGCGAAGGCAGCUCGCUGGGACGUGACUGACGCUGAGACGCGAAAGCGUGGGGAGCAAACAGG
rnacentral:rRNA from 1 species